rnacentral:rRNA from 1 species
CGCCGCGUGAGUGAAGAAGGCUUUCGGGUCGUAAAACUCUGUUGUUGGAGAAGAAUGGUCGGCAGAGUAACUGUUGUCGGCGUGACGGUAUCCAACCAGAAAGCCACGGCUAACUACGUGCCAGCAGCCGCGGUAAUACGUAGGUGGCAAGCGUUAUCCGGAUUUAUUGGGCGUAAAGCGAGCGCAGGCGGUUUUUUAAGUCUGAUGUGAAAGCCCUCGGCUUAACCGAGGAAGUGCAUCGGAAACUGGGAAACUUGAGUGCAGAAGAGGACAGUGGAACUCCAUGUGUAGCGGUGAAAUGCGUAGAUAUAUGGGAAGAACACCAGUGGCGAAGGCGGCUGUCUGGUCUGUAAACUGACGCUGAGGCUCGAAAGCAUGGGUAGCGAACAGGAUUAGAUACCCUGGUAGUCCAUGCCGUAAACGAUGAAUGCUAGGGUGUUGGAGGGUUUCCGCCCUUCAGUGCCGCAGCUAACGCAUUAAGCAUUCCGCCUGGGGAGUACGACCGCAAGGUUGAAACUCAAAGGAAUUGACGGGGGCCCGCACAAGCGGUGGAGCAUGUGGU